UACGGAGGGGGCUAGCGUUGUUCGGAAUUACUGGGCGUAAAGCGCACGUAGGCGGCUUUGUAAGUUAGAGGUGAAAGCCCAGGGCUUAACCCUGGAAUUGCCUUUAAGACUGCAUCGCUAGAAUCGUGGAGAGGUGAGUGGAAUUCCGAGUGUAGAGGUGAAAUUCGUAGAUAUUCGGAAGAACACCAGUGGCGAAGGCGACU
rnacentral:rRNA from 1 species